GAAAAGCAGUGCUGCCAGCAGCCAGGCAGCAGCAAUGGUGGCACCAUGCAGAAGGGACCAAGGCACAAGCAGGAAAAUGUUUCCGCUGAGGAUGUGAGAGUACACAAAUGGUGCCAAGCAACUGAAUGCAUGCAGAAGUGGUCAAAACAGCAAGUAAUAGGAAGUGUCUGCGUCUCCUUACAAGAUUUUGCUGCAAGGUAGUGUUCUUUAAAUUCUCCUGGCACUUAAAAUGUCAAUUUGCUAUAACAAGUUUUUUAUAAUAUGAAAUCAUUCAAUUGUUCCUGAGAUUUACUGGGAAAGCUUUAGGCUGCAGCUAAUGAAUUGCUUCUGGCCCCAAAAUCACAUUUUAAAUUAGUUGACUGAACUAAGGUAUUCACCCACUUUCUGAUUUUAUGUUGCAUUUUUACUGCAAGAAACAAAAUGUUCUCUUGAGUCCAACAAUACCUUCAAACCCUGCUGCUUGCUGUCACCAAGCCUUGCUGUGGAGAGGUCAAUUAUGUUUCUCUUCAGGACAGUUUGAUGCCUAC
rnacentral:lncRNA from 1 species